GCAGUCGUGGCCGAGAGGUUAAGGCGAUGGACUCGAAAUCCAUUGGGGUCUCCCGCGCAGGUUCGAAUCCUGCCGGCUGCG
rnacentral:tRNA from 1 species